rnacentral:rRNA from 1 species
UGAGAUUAGGCAAGAUUACCCGCCGAAUUUAAGCAUAUUAAUA